rnacentral:lncRNA from 1 species
GUUCCCCUUUUUCAUAAACACUAAUCUUUGAAGUCCCAAAAAAGACUAACCCGUUAGAUAUGAAUACAUGAAACACCCGCUUUGACUAUAAAAGAAUACAUGCAUACCUGGUUCAGGAAAGCAGGUUCUCACCGGAGCUAAGCUGACUUCGUCGGAACCCUAAAACAUUCAGAUCUCUCACCGGCAAAGAUCCCGACACCCGUGGUGUCGUCUGUUCAUGUUGAUCCUGACACCCGUGGUACCGUAACUUUGUCGGACCUUCACCGGAACCCUAUCAUCUUCUCUACGCCGCUAAUCACCACCGGACCCGCACCCUGAUUCCGUCACCACCGGAACCGCACCCUGAAUCCGACACCACCACACACUGAUAAUCUCUCUAACCACCACCACACCACCAGUGAUAGGCAACGCCGCCGUUCCGGCACACACAUGGGACAUGGCCAGCUACCUUUCUCUCUCUCUCUCCUUCUUUCUGAUCUUUCUCAUCGUUCCGGUGUGUGGGGUGUAGUAGGUUUAGGGUUUGAUAUUGGGUUUCACAUCAGACGCGUGGCCUGAAUCAUUCUCAGACGUGGAGGAGAGGAUGAACGCGCAAGGGCAUACAGUAAAUUUCUUCACGUUGUGUUUUAUUAGUUACUGGGUUCAUCACAGUGUGUUUUAGCAGUUACUGGUUUCAGUUACUGUUUCAUCACAAUGUGUUUUAUCAGUUACUGUUGCUAGUUCAUGUUGUGUUUUAUCAGUUACUGGUUGAUGUGAUUUUGGUAUUCUUGAUGUUGUGUUUUAUGAGUGACUGGUUUCAACACAAUGUGUUUUAGCAGUUACUGGUUGAUAUGAUUUUUGUCAUUCUUGAUGUUGUGUUUUAUCAAUUACCGGGUUCAUCACAAUGUGUUAUACCAGUUAUGAUUCAUGAAUGGCAUGUUCUUUUGUAUU